ACGGCUACAUCAUGUUCAAACACCAGUUCCCGUACAAUCUCGGAAGUUAAGCAACGUCGAUCUUGGUCAGUAGUUAGGUAGGUCGUUGCUUGGGAAUAUCAGGUAAUGUA